GGGGAGGGAGAAGGAGGAAAAGUUUCCAAUGCAUUAGUAAGAAGCGAAGUUUAACACAGCUCCAAAAGAGACGAAGGCAGAAAGCAAACCCAGGGCAACACUGCCCUCAUGUGGCCUCGCUUGGACAUUGCAGCCGGGCUCUGCAGUUACAGUUGCAUACAGAAUGAAGACAUCUGG
rnacentral:lncRNA from 1 species